rnacentral:rRNA from 1 species
AGAGUUUGAUCCUGGCUCAGAAUCAACGCUGGCGGCGUGCCUCAGACAUGCAAGUCGAACGAUUAAAGCUCUCUUCGGAGAGUGCAUAGAGUGGCGCACGGGUGAGUAACACGUAAGUAAUCUACCCUCGAGUGGGGAAUAACAGUCGGAAACGACUGCUAAUACCGCAUAAUGCAGCGGCACCGCAAGGUGACAGUUGUUAAAGGAGCAAUCCGCUUGAAGAGGAGCUUGCGGCAGAUUAGCUAGUUGGUAAGGUAAUGGCUUACCAAGGCUACGAUCUGUAUCCGGUCUAAGAGGACGGUCGGACACACUGACACUGAAUAACGGGUCAGACUCCUACGGGAGGCAGCAGUCGGGAAUUUUGGGCAAUGGGCGAAAGCCUGACCCAGCAACGCCGCGUGAAGGAUGAAGUAUUUCGGUAUGUAAACUUCGAAAGAAUAGGAGGAAUAAAUGACGGUACUAUUUAUAAGCUCCGGCUAACUACGUGCCAGCAGCCGCGGUAAUACGUAGGGAGCAAGCGUUGUUCGGAUUUACUGGGCGUAAAGGGCGCGUAGGCGGCGCGGUAAGUCACUUGUGAAAUCUCUGAGCUUAACUCAGAACGGCCAAGUGAUACUGCAGUGCUAGAGUGCAGAAGGGGCAAUCGGAAUUCUUGGUGUAGCGGUGAAAUGCGUAGAUAUCAAGAGGAACACCUGAGGUGAAGACGGGUUUGCUGGGCUGACACUGACGCUGAGGCGCGAAAGCCAGGGGAGCAAACGGGAUUAGAUACCCCGGUAGUCCUGGCCCUAAACGAUGAAUACUUG